rnacentral:rRNA from 1 species
UGUUGGUAGUACCUGUAAGCAAAGAUAGAAGUUUGGCAAGGACCAAAAUGUAAAAUGUAUUGUGUACUUAUCUCUGACAAGGAAUGGAGUGUGUGUGUUCGACAGUCUUCCAGAAAAUCGCCAGCCCACUUCUCUUGCGAGUUUACGGAGGCGCAAGUGAUAAUCCGGCGAAUCCCAACAUGGCAUCAGAGCAGGUUGGCGUUCCGGCGGUGGCGGCGUAGUCCCUCGCCGGCAAGGCGGCCGGGCCUGGCGGGGUCAGGAGAGAGGAGGAGGCUGCUCUUGCGCGCGCGCGACGCGGAGGAGGAGGCGGCUGUGGGCGCGUUCUGGGCGAGCUGGCUGCAGAGUAGGAGGCGCAGGAGGUGCUGCGGGAACUGCUGAGUGUUGGUCUGUUGUCCUGCUGCUGAUUGACCAAGGAGAAGGGCAGCUGCUGGUGCAUCUGGAUCUGCUGCUGCUCUGUGGGGUGUGGCUGCGGCUGCUGCUUGGAAGGGCUCCUGUCCUGGCUGCUGCUGCUACUGGUGGAACUGUGUGGCAGAGGAGGAGCAGUGGAGGAGUGUAGAGAAGGUAGAAGGUGAGGUCCCCUUCAACUUUGGCUGCUGGUAGGUUGCAAGGGAGAAGAAAGGGAGGUGCCUGGUGCCUGCUGUGUGUGCGAGCAGAGAAAAGGUGAACUGGUGAGGUAGUGAAGAUGAAGAUGACUUGUGGCUUCAACAAGUAGAGAAGAGGUGUGUUGCCUAAAUCUGAAUCUGUUCGUGGGUUGUUGCUGCUGCCUUGGAGUGGAGAGAAGAACAGAGCAGUAGACCAAAGAGCAGUGUGCAAUUGAGGCUGUGAAGGUCAGAGUAAGUUUCGAUUGGUAGUGGAGUUGUGAGUGAUUGUGUGAAGGUGUGCAUUCUGGUAGUGGAAGGCCAGGGAAUUUGCAGCGUUAUGGAUGGAAAAUAUCAGGCUCUGUUUUCCGGGAUUGGUAAGCAAAGGGACGAUGGUUCAGGUAGAGGUAAAGGAUGUGGUAGUGGUACUGCAAAAUCAUGGCAGCGAAAGGGGGAUUGGCUGUGUCCAAAUACAAGAUGUGAGAAUGUAAAUUUUGCAUUCCGAGGUGUCUGUAAUCGCUGUCGGGCAGCACGUCCUACUGAUGUUAGUGCAAUGGGGACAACUAAAAAUGAUGGAAAAUCUCAGACUAUUACUGUCGAAAUGACUACUGAUGAGUUGAAGAAGUGGCUUCGGUUCAAGGAAGGAAUCAUUGAUGAAAGGUCAACAACCAAGAUAUUUGCUACAUCUGCUAACCCCUGUGGUAAUACUUCGAAAUUUGUGAAAGGAAGUUAUUUUGAGACUGGUACACAGUGGUUAAUAGACUCUGGUGCGUCUAAACAUAUGGCCGGUUCAUAUAAGGAUUUCUGCAGUUAUACUCCUGAUUUUACAGGGCAAAAUGUUAGACUUGCUGAUGGUUCUGGCCAGAGUAUUAAGGGAGUAGGCAUAGUUAAAUGUUACCCAAAUAUGACUCUAUCAUCUGUUUUACAUGUUCCCUCAUUCCCAAUCAAUUUGCUAUCCAUCAGCUGCAUUACAGGAGAACUUAAUUGUGCUGUAAUCUUCUUCCCAACAUGGUGUUUAUUCCUGGAACUUGGGACUUGGAAAAUCCUUGGGACAGGAAUUAUGCGAGGUGGUCUAUACUACUUGGAUGAUGAUAUGGCACCUAUGGCUGCUGCUGUGCUGUCUCAGUCACCAUUGGAAGAAUUUCUUCUUCAUCAUCGCAGGCUGGGACACAUAUCCUUUAACACCCUGGGUCAGUUGUAUCCUAGUCUCUAUAAUAAAAUUUGCAAAGAAAGUCUAGUAUGUGAUGCUUGUCAGUAUGGGAAGCUAACCCGUAGUAUAUAUACUUCAUCUGAUCACAGAAGUAUGGUGCCAUUUCAAACUAUCCACUCAGAUGUGUGGGGUCCUAGUGGGGUGUGGUCACUUUAUGGAUACAAAUCUUUCGUUACAUUUAUUGACUGUUGCACUAGGACUACUUGGGUUUAUGUACUGAGAAAUAAAAGUGACGUGUUUGAAUGCUUUAAGGAUUUCCACAACCUAAUCAAGAAUCAAUAUGAUGCACGGGUGAAAAUAUUUCGAACUGACAAUGGUACAGAAUAUGUAAAUAACCAAUUUGAUGAGUAUCUGUCAAACUUUGGGAUUAUCCAUCAAACUAGUUGCCCAGGUACUUCCCAGCAGAAUGGGUUGGCUGAAAGGAAGAACAGACAUCUCUUAGAAAUCACCCGGUGUAUCAUGUUAGCUAUGAAUGUUCCUAAAUAUUUGUAGGCUGAAGCUGUGAUGACGGCGGCUUAUUUGAUGAAUAGAAUGCCAUCCCGGGUGCUCAAUAACAAGACACCGAUUGAGUGUCUAACUGGUGAAACCACAUAUGUUGUGCCGCCAAAUGUAUUUGGAUGUGUAUGUUUUGUGAGGGAUCAUAGACCAUCAGUUGGCAAGUUUGACCCUAGAGCAGUGAAAUGUGUAUUUGUGGGAUACUCUGGAAAACAAAAGGGUUAUAAAUGUUGGUGCCCAUCAGAAAAACGGAUGUUUGUGAGCAUGGAUGUAGUGUUCAGGGAGCAUGAACCUUUCUAUGGGGAAUCAGUAGAUUUAACUGAUGUCUUUCCUGAUUUAUAUGUUAAUGAUGCUACAGAUCUGGACAACGAGAUAGGGGGAGAUAAAGGUGAAGAAUAUAAUGAAGCAGCAUCCAGGAAUAUGAUUGUUGGAGUGAUUCCAGCUGCAGAUAUGUAUGACGAUGAAGAUGAAGGUACAUCAGAAGCUGAACAGAAACGGACACAGGGGGAGCUACGAGAUGAAUCAAAUGAAGCUGUUAAGUGGCCUAAACCAAAUGAAGAACAAGAAGUUCAGGUGUAUAAAAGGAGACAGUGGCCUAAACCAAAUGAAGAACAAGAAGUUCAGGUGUAUAAAAGGAGAAACCGAUCUGAGAAGGAAGUUAUUCCAUCUAGGUGUGAUCAUGAAGCUCAAGAAGCUCCUGCAAUACAAGCACAAGAAACCUUGCCAAGUGUGACAUAAUCAGAUGUGCAUGAGUCAUCUCCUCAAGUUGAUGAGUUAGAUAUUCCUAUCGCUCGCAAAUAGCAGCCACGUUCCACUGCAGGGAAGUUACCAUCAAAUCUAUCUCAAUAUGAUAUUUCUAAUUAUGUCUCAUAUGUAUCAUUGGGCUCCCAAUAUAAAUCAUUUAUAGAUGCACUAGAUUCCACUCUACCUAUACCACGUGAUUGGCAGGAGGCGAAACAAUAUCCGGAGUGGAGAGCUGCUAUGAUAGAGGAGAUGACAGCACUUGAUAAAAAUAAUACUUGGGUACUCACUACUCUUCCUCCUAACAAAAGGGCUGUUGGUUGUAAAUGGGUAUUUACUGUAAAACAAAAUUCAGAGGGAAAAGUAGAAAGAUAUAAAGCCAGGUUAGUGGCAAAGGGGUAUAGUCAGACUUAUGGAGUGGACUAUGAUGAGACCUUCGCACCAGUGGCGAAAAUGAACACCAUUAGGGCUCUCAUAUCUAUAGCUGCAAAUAAUAAGUGGAGGUUAUUUCAAAUGGAUGUUAAAAAUGCUUUUCUUCAUGGAGAUUUGAAAGAAGAGGUUUAUAUGGAGAUUCCCCCUGGGUUUGGUACACAAGAAACAGAGGGUAAAGUGUGUAGGCUGAAAAGGUCUCUAUAUGGUUUGAAACAGUCACCUAGAGCAUGGUUUGGACGACUUAGAAAGGAGAUAUGCUCUAUGGGUUAUCGACAAAGCAAUGCAAAUCACACCCUUUUCUUUAAGUACCAGAGUGGCAAGAUUGUCAUCCUUAUUGUGUAUGUUGAUGAUAUUGUGAUCACAGGCAAUGAUGAUGAUGGGAUAGCAUUCCUAAAGAAGAUGUUGGCCAAGUCAUUUGAAGUUAAGGAUCUGGGUUUUCUUCAUUAUUUCCUGGGAAUUGAGACCAGCGACAACUCCAAUUGAGCAGAACCAUCGUAUUCGAGCAGAUUCUGGUGAUCCUGUGGACAAACAUCAAUAUCAAAGGUUAGUUGGUCGGUUAAUUUAUUUAUCACACACUAGGCCAGACAUUGCCUAUGAUGUUAGCUUGGUGAGCAGAUUUAUGCAUGACCCGAGAUCAAGUCAUUUAGAUGUUGUGCACAGAAUACUAAGAUAUCUUAAAGGUUGUCCGGGAAGAGGGAUUCCAUUUUCUAAUCAUGGACACUUAAAAGUAGAGGGUUUUACUGAUGCUGAUUGGGCUGGGUGCCUAGACGAUAGAAGGUCUACAUCUGGCUACUGUGUUUUCGUUGGUGGUAAUCUUGUUAGUUGGAGGAGCAAAAAACAAAGUGUGGUGGCACGAUCUACUGCUGAAGCAGAGUUUAGAUCCAUGGCUUCAGGAUUAUGUGAAUUGAUGUGGUUGAGGAUACUAUUAUCUGAACUUAGGCUUUUUGAUGGAGGACCACUGCAACUUUUUUGUGAUAACCAGGCUGUAAUCAAGUUAAUACACAAUCCAGUCCAGCAUGAUAGAACUAAACACAUCGAAAUUGAUAGACAUUUCAUAAGAGAAAAGCUAGACGAGGGACUUCUCCAAGUUGACUUUGUUAGAUCUGAAAAUCAACUUGCAGAUGUAUUAACAAAGGGUGUUAGUGUUGUAUCUUUUGAAAAACUAUGUAGCAAGAUGGGGCUCGUAAAUAUAUUUGCCCCAUCUUGAGGGGGAGUGUUGGUAGUACCUGUAACCAAAGAUAGAAGUUUGGCAAGGACCAAAAUGUAAAAUGUAUUGUGUACUUAUCUCUGACAAGGAAUGGAGUGUGUGUGUUCGACAGUCUUCCAGAAAAUCGCCAGCCCACUUCUCUUGCGAGUUUACGGAGGCGCAAGUGAUAAUCCGGCGAAUCCCAACAGACUACUACUGCAAUUUUUUAAAAUCUAGAUAGACUGAUGGCAAGCAUCUCAGUUAAUGAUCGAAAUUCCCAGCUACAGACUAGUUUAUAUGAUUUUUAGUUCUUAUAUGUUCCUUCUAAAAAAAUGUGUGUACAAAUUUUGUCAGGAAUGUAAAUUAUCAUGUCAAGCUUUUAAGCCCAUGAUUUUAGAGAUUUCUGUUUACUUCUUGUAUACGAAGAGGAAAGCAGGAGUUUAAUGUUUCCUUUGUUCUUGUAUAAUCUGUUCAUCCUGAUUAUUUACAUACUUCUAUUAGUUUUUGCCCUAUUUAAUUUUCUUCAUUCAGUUCAGGAAGCACAAUGCUGAUUCCGCAGUUCAGACUGUUGUAUAACUCUAUUC